AGUGAACGCUGGCGGUAGGCCUAACACAUGCAAGUCGAACGGCAGCACAGUAAGAGCUUGCUCUUACGGGUGGCGAGUGGCGGACGGGUGAGGAAUACAUCGGAAUCUACUUUUUCGUGGGGGAUAACGUAGGGAAACUUACGCUAAUACCGCAUACGACCUACGGGUGAAAGCAGGGGAUCUUCGGACCUUGCGCGAUUGAAUGAGCCGAUGUCGGAUUAGCUAGUUGGCGGGGUAAAGGCCCACCAAGGCGACGAUCCGUAGCUGGUCUGAGAGGACGAUCAGCCACACUGGAACUGAGACACGGUCCAGACUCCCACGGGAGGCAGCAGUGGGGAAUAUUGGACAAUAGGCGCAAGCCUGAUCCAGCCAUACCGCGUGGGUGAAGAAGGCCUUCGGGUUGUAAAGCCCUUUUGUUGGGAAAGAAAAGCAGCAGGUUAAUACCCCGCUGUUCUGACGGUACCCAAAGAAUAAGCACCGGCUAACUUCGUG
rnacentral:rRNA from 1 species